AUGAUGAAGACGAGCGGUCUCGCCGCCCGAGUUCACCACGCUCGUCUUCUUCUCCUCCUCGCGGCCGUCUUGCUGCUCGCCGCCACGGCUGAUGGCAUCAGACCAGGCCCCCAUGACCAUGCACGGCCGGGGCAGGCGCCUGGUGCGGCGACGGCGACGGAGGAGAAGGGGUUCCUGCAGGAGGAGGUGUACGGGACGGGGUCGAGCCUGCCGGACUGCACGCACGCGUGCGGCGCCUGCAAGCCGUGCAACCGCGUGAUGGUCAGCUUCAAGUGCUCCAUCGCCGAGCCCUGCCCCAUGGUCUACCGCUGCAUGUGCAAGGGCAAGUGCUACCCCGUGCCCUCCAGCUAG
rnacentral:rRNA from 1 species